AUUGAUGAGUGGGUUUUUAUAUAACAAAACUUUAAUAUAAAGAGAAAGACAUAUGAAAAUUUGAAGCACAUUCAAGAUACAAUGAAGGUGAAAGAACCCAUCAAACAAAGAACUGAUUUAAGGAAUUAAGAGGGCCACAGAAACAAGUUUCUAUUAUCACAGUUGUCAAAAUUGCAAAAUAAACCAAGAUAUGUAAAAAGAAGGAAUUUGAAUUGACAAACAAACUGGGAAGAUGGUUGUCAUCAUUUUCAUAACACUUUUACAAGUGGUGCCUUUUUUCUCUUUUUUAGACUAUGAAAUCUGAAAACCAAGGAGGUUCAAAGAGAAAUCUUAUGUUUCCUUCUACCUUUACAGUUUUAAAAUAAUCUAUGAACUACCUUAGCAUGUAUCCGAGAAACUAUUUACAACUGUCAUUCUGUUUGAGGGCAACUGUUACAUAGAAAAUGAUGUCACAAUCAAGUUCACUGCACAGUUGGUCUAUCAUAGAGAGCCACCAAUAUAGCCAAAGUACUGAUCUGCUUAAAAUCCACUGAAAGGUGAUAUCCUGCAUCAAUCUUUUGGUCAAAAAUUGGCCAUAUCAAGUUAUACUCCUAAAGUGAGAAACCAUACAAUGAUCAUUGUUACCUGGAUCAUCUACCUUUUGGCUAUAGAACUGAUGAACAGAAUACCAAAAUCCAAGGCUGAACCAGCAAAAAAUGAAAGUGGUAAGCAUUAAUUGCCAUCAUAUGUAAGAUGGACACCGCCCAGGGCAAAAUUCCUGAAUAUCUGAAAAGCAAUGAAGAAGUUCCAGUUCUGAAGUGCAGCUUAAAACAUCAAUGAGAAAGGAGACAUUAGGAGUGCUCAAGAGCUAAUGGAUGCAGUACUGAAACACAACCAAACAUGUUAAAAUGAUGCAGGGCUAUCAUAAAAGGACAGGGCUCUUUGAAAUUACCUUUGAGCCCUGUCUAUGUUUUGUGUCAGUUAAUUUACCACCUUGCUGAAGCACAGGCAGGCAAUAAAUUCUUACAUCUGGA